GCAUAUCAAUAAGCGGAGGAAAAGAAACCAACAGGGAUUGCCCCAGUAACGGCGAGUGAAGCGGCAACAGCUCAAAUUUGAAAUCUGGCCCUUGGGUCCGAGUUGUAAUUUGAAGAGGAUGCUUUUGGUGCGGUGCCUUCCGAGUUCCCUGGAACGGGACGCCAUAGAGGGUGAGAGCCCCGUCUGGUUGGAUGCCAAACCUCUGUAAAGCUCCUUCGACGAGUCGAGUAGUUUGGGAAUGCUGCUCAAAAUGGGAGGUAUAUGUCUUCUAAAGCUAAAUAUUGGCCAGAGACCGAUAGCGCACAAGUAGAGUGAUCGAAAGAUGAAAAGCACUUUGAAAAGAGGGUUAAAUAGUACGUGAAAUUGUUGAAAGGGAAGCACUCAUGACCAGACUUGGGCCCGGUGAAUCAUCCAGCGUUCUCGCUGGUGCACUUUGCCGGCCCAGGCCAGCAUCAGUUCGUCGCGGGGGAAAAAGGCUUCGGGAACGUGGCUCCCUCGGGAGUGUUAUAGACCGUUGCAUAAUACCCUGUGAUGGACUGAGGUUCGCGCUCCGCAAGGAUGCUGGCGUAAUGGUCAUCAGUGACCCGUCUUGAAACACGGACCAAGGAGUCGUCCUCGUAUGCGAGUGUUCGGGUGUCAAACCCCUACGCGUAAUGAAAGUGAACGUAGGUGAGAGCUUCGGCGCAUCACCGACCGAUCCUGAUGUUCUCGGAUGGAUUUGAGUAAGAGCAUACGGGGCCGGACCCGAAAGAAGGUGAACUAUGCCUGUAUAGGGUGAAGCCAGAGGAAACUCUGGUGGAGGCUCGCAGCGGUUCUGACGUGCAAAUCSMUCGUCAAAYA
rnacentral:rRNA from 1 species